CCUACGGGUGGCAGCAGUGGGGAAUAUUGGACAAUGGGGGGAACCCUGAUCCAGCCAUGCCGCGUGUGUGAAGAAGGCCCUCGGGUUGUAAAGCACUUUCAGUGAGGAAGAACGCCUGGUGGUUAAUACCCAUCAGGAAAGACAUCACUCACAGAAGAAGCACCGGCUAACUCCGUGCCAGCAGCCGCGGUAAUACGGAGGGUGCGAGCGUUAAUCGGAAUUACUGGGCGUAAAGCGCGCGUAGGUGGCUUGAUAAGCCGGUUGUGAAAGCCCCGGGCUCAACCUGGGAACGGCAUCCGGAACUGUCAAGCUAGCGGGCAGGAGAGGAAGGUAGCAUUCCCGGUGUGGCGGUGAACUGCGUAGAGAUCGGGAGGAAUACCAGUGGCGAAGGCGGCCUUCUGGACUGACACUGACACUGAGGUGCGAAAGCGUGGGUAGCAAACAGGAUCAGAUACCCCUGUAGGC
rnacentral:rRNA from 1 species